rnacentral:rRNA from 1 species
CCUACGGGUGGCAGCAGUGAGGAAUAUUGGUCAAUGGACGAGAGUCUGAACCAGCCAAGUAGCGUGAAGGAUGACUGCCCUCUGGGUUGUAAACUUCUUUUAUAAAGGAAUAAAACGAGGCACGUGUGCCUUUUUGCAUUUACUUUAUGAAUAAGGAUCGGCUAACUCCGUGCCAGCAGCCGCGGUAAUACGGAGGAUCCGAGCGUUAUCCGGAUUUAUUGGGGUUAAAGGGAGCGUAGAUGGGUUGUUAAGUCAGUUGUGAAAGUUUGCGGCUCAACCGUAAAAUUGCAAUUGAUACUGGCAGUCUUGAGUACAGUAGAGGGAGGCGGAAUUCGAGGUGUAGCGGUGAAAUGCGUAGAUAUCACGAAGAACCCCGAAUGCGAAGGCAGCUUACUAAGCUGUGACUGACAUUGAUGCGCGAAAGUGUGGGUAGCAAACAGGAGUAGAUACCCUUGUAGUC